rnacentral:rRNA from 1 species
CCUACGGGUGGCAGCAGUAGGGAAUCUUCCACAAUGGGCGAAAGCCUGAUGGAGCAACGCCGCGUGGGUGAAGAAGGUCUUCGGAUCGUAAAACCCUGUUGUUAGAGAAGAAAGUGCGGGAGAGUAACUGUUCACGUAUCGACGGUAUCUAACCAGAAAGCCACGGCUAACUACGUGCCAGCAGCCGCGGUAAUACGUAGGGUGCAAGCGUUAUCCGGAUUUAUUGGGCGUAAAGGGAACGCAGGCGGUCUUUUAAGUCUGAUGUGAAAUCCUCCGGCUUAACCGGGGUAGUGCAUUGGAAACUGGGAGACUUGAGUGCAGAAGAGGAGGGUGGAACGCCAUGUGUAGCGGUGAAAUGCGUAGAUAUAUGGAAGAACACCAGUGGCGAAGGCGACUCUCUGGUCUGUAACUGACGCUGAGGUUCGAAAGCGUGGGUAGCAAACAGGAUUAGAUACCCUAGUAGUC